CCCCCUCAGCCUAUUUCAGGGGCUUCUGAUGAGGAGCGCCCUGCCUUGCCUGGGGGUACAUGUGUAAACACAUUCCCCUGACAGUGAGACUGUUCUUGAGGGGCCUUCAGACUAAGGUGGGACC